rnacentral:rRNA from 1 species
CAGCCGUAAACUAUGCUCGCUAGGUGUCAGGCAUGGCGCGACCGUGUCUGGUGCCGCAGGGAAGCCGUGAAGCGAGCCACCUGGGAAGUACGGCCGCAAGGCUGAAACUUAAAGGAAUUGGCGGGGGAGCACAACAACGGGUGGAGCCUGCGGUUUAAUUGGACUCAACGCCGGGAAGCUCACCGGAUAAGACAGCGGAAUGAUUGCCGGGCCGAAGACUCUGCAUGACUAGCUGAGAGGAGGUGCAUGGCGUAGACGUCU